GCCACACGAUCACCACCUUUUCACGUAAACUGCUUACACCUAAUUCAAGUGAACUUUAAAAUCAUUUCAUCAACAUGUUUUUUUUUACAAAGCGCUCUUCGUUUCACACAAACAUCAUCAACAAAUUUCUUUACAAGCUUCACUAAAUCUUCUGAAGUGUUCAAUUUUGAUGUUUACGAGCCACAAUCCAAUUGAUGCUUUCAGCCGCUUUAAAACCAAAAUUUUCAGAAUUCACAGACAUGUACGAGAAGUCAUAUCUAAAAGAAGAAGUAGAUCUAAGCAAUCAAAGACAAGUUUGGAUGAAGUAUGUUCUAGAGCUAAGUUGGCGGAAGUUAGAGACAGAUGAAUUAGAUAGAGUAUUAAAAGAGUUGCAAAACAUUUGAUCCAUUCAGAAUUUCAGGUCUUCUUCUUCGCGGCAGAUCGUAAACCUCCACAGCAACACACGGCGUCUUCGGUCCCAACUGCUUAGAUUUGCGGUGUGAAAUCGAUUACAUGACAUCUGCAUCGGCGCUUCUUCCAGCGUGGUCUUCUCUCUCUCAUGACUGAAGCUCGAAUUCUUCAUUGAACCAUUGCGCCUCCACCGAACUAUGAUUUAUCAUCGCAGCAUGUUCUCUCCGUCAGUCGCCGUGCCCUCAUAUCUCCUCCACGAGGGGAUCAAAUUCUGUUGUGACCUUCAUAUAUCUUCCACGAGGCUUGAUUCUGCCGCCGCAUACUUCACCGCAAGUCAACGUUGACGCCGUCCCUUGCCGCUUGUUUUUCAAGUCUGUCACGAUGGCGUGGUGGAAAACGGAGCGCAUGAUUUCAUCCGAUGCGGUUCUAAGGUCGAGGUACGUCUCGCCGAUCUUCUCUCUCGUAUGAGAUAAUUAGAAGGGUUGCUACCUUGGACGCGAUGGAGAAGAGGCUGGCGAUAUCGACGGUGAUAGCGAGUGCAGCGGCGUCGGGAGGCACGAUUGUGGUGAAGGAGUUCAUUGGUAGGUUCGAGAAGCCGAGGAAGAACAAGUUUUUGGAUGCGAUGAAGAGAUGGGGGUUGGAUCCGAAGGGGAAAACAAUAUUUUUGGUGGUUGAUGUGGAGGAGAACGUGGCGAAGUCGAGCAGGAAUAUAGGAAUGCUAAGGAAGUUGACGUAGAGGAGUUUGAAUGUGUUUGAUGUUUUGAAUUCCAAUAAGCUGGUGCUUACUCUUGCGGUGGUGGAGUUUUUGAAUGCUAGGUAUGGUGUUGAAGAAUUGGUUACAGGGGAUGAAGAUGAAAAUGUCAGGAAAUUUACAACCUAAUGUUUGCGGAGAUAGUGGAAAGAAUGUUAUGUUGGAAGUACAAAGCAUGCAUGAUUUUGUCAAGGUGUUGCAAAAAAGGUACCAUUCUUUAACACUUUACUUAAGAUAAAUAAGAAGCUUACAUGUGGCUGCCUUCAAGGUGGUUGUUCCUCUUGUUCAAGUUACAAUUUUUGCUUUGUCUUAGUUUGAUACAACUAAAUUCACACUUUAUUUAAUAUUUUUUUAUAAUUAUUACUUCAUCCUAUAAAUUUACGAGAUCUACUUUAUAUUGUUAAGGUUUGUUUAUUAGCUUAGCCAUUUUAUUUUUGAAAAACAUACUUUGUCCGUACUUUUACAAAGUAUCUUUUUUUGUUUAGUCACAUUAUUUUGGAAAAACAUACACUGAUUAUAUUUUUACAAGAUUUAUGAUUCCAUAAUAUUUUAAACAUAGCCUGGACACAUAAACAAGUGGUAUAAUCAUAUGUCAACCAAUAUUACUAGUAUAACUUCUGUAAUUAGUGUAAAAUGUAAACCAGUCUGAUACAACUAGUAUAACUGGUCCAACUAUAUAUCAAACCAUACUGUUAUACUGGUAUAACUGGUACAUCUAUGCUUUAUUUAUCAUACAAGUAAUAUUGGUAUAAAUAGUACAACUAUUCAUUUUCUGAAAUUUAUAUAUUUCAUUGGGUAUUCCAUAUGAAAAAAAAAAUCAAAUGACCAUUUUGGUAAAUAUUUAGAUAGUUUCCUUAUUAUUUUUUUGUUUUUUUGUAGUUCUUACACCAUCACAUAAGUUUGCAUGAUCUACCUUAUACUUUUAAGGUUUGUUAACUUAUUUGUACACAUAAUUUUUGGAAAACAUACAUGAAAUGUAUUUUAACAAAAUUGAUGAUUUCAUUUUAUUGGGGAAAAUGCAUGCACACAUAAAGAAGUGGUACAAAUGAAGUAAAUUUAAAUCUUAUGUGGUACAACUAGUUUUUUCGAUUUCACUGCCAAAGUACAACUAUGUACAAACCAGUACAACUAAAAAACUAGUACAACUAUGCACAAAUCGGUAUAACUCAAAUAUACUAGUACAACUAUGUUAUUUCAUUUUGUAUUGUGCAUCACGUUUAAAACGUGUAUCAUGUUGUAUACAUUAUGGUUUAAUAUUACAUGAAGUAGUUGUAACUUUCCUAAAAAAAAUUAUGAAUUUUUUUUUGACAAUUAUUACACCAUCACAUAAGUUUACAUAAUUUACCGUAUACUUUAAUUGUUUGUUUACUUGAUUAACCAUGUUAUUUGAAAAAAAAAACAUAAUCUAACUUUCAGAAAUCGUUAGUUUAAGUUAAUGUCAAUGUUACGAGGCCGUUUUGUGAUAUAUUGUGUUUUCUGACAGAUUGUAUAUAUGUUUUCUAAAUUGUUUUCAAGUUUUUAUCGAGUCUCUCUAGUCUUUUUCGAGUCAUUUUCAGGUUCGAAGUAGGUUGAAUGGCUCUUGGAGAUAUGCAUGCAGAGAAUAGUGAAACUUGGAGAUUUCUAAUUCGGAGCAGCCGUUAUUGUUUUACAACUAAAAAAAAACUAGUACAACUAUAUUGUUAUUUUAUUUAGUAUUGCUUUAAAUGUGCAUCACGUUUUAAAUUAAUGUUAGUGUAAUGAAUGUAUUUAAAAGUUUA